CUCCUUUCCCACUUCCCUCGCCCCGACUCCCCUCUCUCUUCCUCUCGUCCCUCACGCCGCCACCCUGCCUCCUCUCCUCCCCUUCUCCUCCUCCCGUCCUCGCCUCCGCCGCCGUCGCCCCCAACCCAGGCGACCCCUCCCCUUCUCUCUAUGGCCGUGGAUCCACCCCAAUAGCUCAGGCAGCGGUCGGAUCCGGCGACUCCUUCCUCCAACUCGUGUCGGACGUCACCUGGAGUGGAGAGGAGAGGAGAGGCAGAUCCCGCUACCACCGGCGACCUCCCUCCCCCUUCCUCAGAUGGGUGGGCAGGGCAACACCGCCUGAAACCCUAGCCCCGCCCCUCACCCACCCACCCAUGGAUGGACGGACGGGGACGGGGUGACGACGGCGGCGGCGGAUCCGCACCCACCUUCUUUACUGCCGCGUCGGCGUCGGCCCUCGACACCGACGAACGCUGGUUCUUCCUCCUCAUCCACGACGCCCAUCUCUGGCCAUGGCGACCUCGGAUCUCCGGCCAUGGUUGCUCAGAUGUUGUUGCUGCUGCUGCUGCUGCUGCAGGUGGACGUGGUGAGCUCCAUCCCAUAUUUCUACCCUGCUGAAGCACAUACUGAUGAUGUGGAGUUUUUCAAACUGCCAGCUAUAAAGCUUAGGGAAGAAUAGCGCAACAUGGAUACAUAAACCCACGAUGGGUGGACGGUGAGCUAUUGGUACUCAAUGGCAAGGAUCUCCAGUCUGACAACAAAAGAAAGGGCUGCUGCCCUAUUAUCGUCGUCAUCCUCACGCAGCUCGGCAGAGACAUAAGAGGAGGUCACCGGGAGACGACGGAAGAUCAAAGGAGGAUGGAUGAGUGCAUCACUACAGUACUACCCUGUUUCUCCUUGUUGGCAGGGCUGACUCGAUUUCAUACGAAAGGAGGAUGAGUGCAUCACUACACUUUUUCAUAGGCACUACCAAUAUACUGAACUAUGACUUAAAUUAUUUGGCAAACUUCAUGAGUGAGUUGAGAUUGAAGGUUAUUACUGGCUAUUGAUGUGAUGGCACCUAUUAUGGCAAACUUCAUGAGUGACCAAAUAUCAGGUGGACCAGGAUCUGAGGGCUUUGUUCUAUUUGUCGGUCACCCUUGCCUUGGCACUAGCCGUGCAAUGGAAGAGGGGUGUGGUUUUGGGUUUGGUUGUGCUUUCAAGAUCCGUUGAUGUUGUACCUGCUGUGGAACUUUGACGUGUCUAUUGUCUGUUGCCGUUGUUAGGGUCUGCUCUUCUCUGGACCACGGUUCAAUAGAAAUAACUCAUGCAUUGCUAAUUCCCUACUUGAAGGCUACUGCUGUGAAGGCACCUGUCAUGGAAAACUUCACGAGUGAGCAAAUAUCAGGUUUCUGGCAAGCACCGACAUACACGAGUGAUUCAGAACAUGUGCUUUGUAUCUAGGUUGUCUUGGUCUAGAGCUUUUAUCGCCUCUUCACAAUCUAUUAGAAAAAAAACUUUUACCUGAAUCAUCAUGUUGAAGAUAUAUUCCUAUCAUUACACAUACUUGAUAUUUAAUGUCAUGUGUACUGCAUAAUCUUUUGUACUCUAUCCACUUACCCAGGAUUCUAUGAUCUCCAAUGAUAGUGGAAUUGGACUCGAAAAAUUUAUCAGUUGCUUAGCUUUGUUUGAAUAAUAAGUAGAAAGUAAAAAAAUUAAUUGUACAAACCAAUAAAGCUCUAAAUAAGUUUAAGUUCAUAAUGCAGAUUGGUCCCUACAAAGGGAGUUUUUUUUGUUGCAUUGCUUGCUUUAUUUUGUAUGUUGCUCUUUUCCACAGUCGACCAGGAGACAAAUUUGGUAUCAACCCUUGUCCUUGAUCUUUGCAGAAGAGGUUUUUGUUCUUUUAUUUGAUAUAUUGGUGCUAAAAGACAAGUCAUGAGUCAGUGGCAGGGUAGUCGAGAUGGAUCUAUCUAAGUACUUAUAUAAGUAUGUUGUUGGUCUGCUUGCUUUGGUUUAUCCAGUUUUUGCCUUUAAAUGAACUAACUCAAAUUCGUAUUUAUGCUUGAUGGGUGAUUGGAUAUGAGAUCUUCAGAAAGGUGGUUUUAUUUACACAAGUAAACGCAAAUUCACGUCGUUUAGUUAUGGUGUGUGUAUAUACAGUUGAUGCUGCACUGAUGUAUAACUUGAUGUUUCUGAAACCCUAAAAAAACUUGGUGUUUCUGCAAUUUCUAGAGUGUUUGUCUGGUAAAUGUCAUCGGUGACUUCCCUGAUAUUUCAGGUGCUCAAUUUGCAAAGCUUCUCAAACAGCUAGGUUGUUUAUCUAUUAUUUUACUCUCCAUGUCAUCUCUGCAUCUUUUUUCUUCAGUUUUGUUAUGUGGUUUGCUAUGCAACCUUCGGUGUUGUGGUGCAUAUAACUUCUGAUGGUCUCAUUUCUGGUAGCAAAGCUAUCGCCUUUUGUUGCUUCAUCAGCAUUGCUUACUUUUACAUGGGAGUAGCUUGGCUUUAAAGGUUUGUUUUGUUUUCUUCAUACGACCUGUUUCGACUGCUGAGUUCAAUUUGCAACUCUCCAUACUUCAAAGCUACUACACUUGACGAGAAAUACUCACGCAUAUGUUUUCUUAUUCAUCUCAGCACCCAUCCUCAUAGAACCAUCAUUAGAAUGAGCAAAGCGCCACUUCAUUUAGAGAAGAAAGGAAGGAGAAGAAUGGCUCUAUUCCUUGAUGCUGAAGUCCUUGAAGUAAUUACAUGAAGGUGGUACAUUUAUGAACAGAGGGAGUACAUUCCAAUCGCUUGCGCGGGAGAGGCUGUAUGCUCAUGCUAUUUGUUUCUUGGCUUUUGUGUUGUUGCUACCUGUAUCUGUUGUAUUACUAUGGUGGACUGUGAGAUGUAUGUCGCUGGUUGUGUCUAUAUGUGAUCUGUUUUUUUUAAACAUUUAUAUGUGAUCUGUUUGUGUA